AAAGCGCCUACAUUAUUUAAAGUUCUUCCAGUUUAGCAUGUUAGGGCAUCUAUAGAUCACUAGCUUGGUCAGAGACCAUUUGACGAGUAGGUCCCUUGACGUGUACGGAACUAGACACUUUGCGUUAUCAUUUAGAAAAAGAAUAUGUGGCUCUUCAGCGGCAUCAACUUUUAGAAAGCUAGCAGCUCACUCAAUCAUAUAUAUAUAUAUAUAUAUAUAUAUAUAUAACGUGUGGAGACAGCGCAACGCAGCAGUUCAUCUCAGCAGGUAUGCAGCAUCGCAGACAACCUUCAGAACCAUAGAGAGGGACAUCCACAACACACCAUCACUGCAAGAAAGGAUAGAAGGAAUUUCAAUUCCCUCAUGUCAUUAUGGAUUCGGUGACUCUUCUGCAUCUAAUUCCAUACUCAGUGUUCUCCUUGCUUUUUUUUUCCUUUUUGCCAAGGAAGCACAUAAAUAGGAUAUUUAGCUAUAUAAGAGAAUGCGAUGUAAUAAGAAAUUAAUGUUAAGAGAGUUGAAUCAAUAAGAAAGUUACCUCUUCACCUUUAUCAUU